rnacentral:lncRNA from 1 species
CAAAGAGAGGUUGCACCAAUAGAUGGAUGUGUUUUCCAGUUGCAGUGGAGACUCCAGCAUAUUGGAGAUGCCAGUGUGGUGGACACUGUAGACAUCACCAAGAACAGCAGCAGGUUCUAAUGGCCAUGCCGAAAUUAAUACCUUCAACCCAGGAUAGCAGGUGCAAUAUCUUCAGAAACUGGGACCUGCAGAUGAACUACAAAUAAACUUCAGAAGAGAAAUGCUGAGUUGGUUCCUUUGAGACAUCAUCAUCUACAGGCAUGCAGUUCACUUGAGGACAAUCAAUAAUCUAUUCUGAUCCUGAUCAAAUCACCUGAUGUCUCUGUGAUCGUGUAUCCUCCCACGUUAGAAGCAAUCAGGCGGAGAAUUAUGAGGGCAUUGAAAGAUUAGCCUCAUCAGUUACCUGCUGUGACCAUCGGCUUUCUGGAUAUUCAAAGAGCCUGCUGAUUUCCAUUUAAAUUACAUGAAGAUAUAUUUGUCUUUUAGAACUUCAAAGCAUUUAAAGGUGGUGUAAAACCAAAACACAUUGAAGAAGGCAAAGAGAUGAUUUAUCAAAUAUUCUUGAAGAGACCGAUGUAUACACAAGCUGCACUGUGGAGCAGAUAAGGGCAUUUUGUGCCUAUUCAUUCUCAAUUUGAAACACAAUGUAAUUCAACCAAUAUUAAUGUAUUUCUCCAGGUGAGAAAGGGCGGGGGCUGGGACAGAGGCUGUGGUACUCAAACUCCUGGGCACAAAGACACUGCUGGGAGCCUUAGGAGUUGAGAAUGAGGGAUCCUGUCCUCUUAUGUACCCAGACACUGCUGGGGAUGUUGAGGAGUUGGAAUCAGGGCCCAUGGGCCUGUGAAGAGCCUGGGGUAGGGGAAUCUGACUUAGCUAAGAGUGAGUGCCAGGAGGGCAGAGGGACUGGGAGGCUUAGGCAAGUGGAGGACAUGUGAUGUUUGGAGGAUAUAAAUAGGACUCCCUCCCACUCACAGUGAUUCUUGAUGAAGGAGACAGUCCUUGCUUAUCCAAAUUGCUUUAUCUAUAGCAGAUGAAGAUGCAUAUGACUUACUCAGGGUAAACCAGAGAUUAAAUACGUUUGAUAGGAAGGAAUGCCUAGAAAAGGAUGCACAUUGGCUAAACAGUCAGCCUCUAGGUACCGCAUUAACAAGGAGAACUCUAGGUUCUAUGCUAGGAGACAGGAUGUACUCAUGUGCUCCAGGACAGGAAUCAGGUCAAGAACUAGACCAAACUCCUGUUGUUCUUAAUUAUAAAUUUUAUUGGGGUUCUGAACUUUGCUUACCCAUUCUUCUGUUUGGUGGCAUGGUCCAUAGACCCCCAAAACAGGUUUUUCAAAAAUUUGAAAACCUGAAUGGCAGUUAUAAUGACACAAGAAAGAGGAUUGGAGUUUUGAAGUUCCUCUCACAUCUUGUAACACACACACACCAUUUUAGUGCUUGGCCACAGUUUCUUCAUGUUCUACUGUUCUGGCCAAGAAAAUUCUCUUUUGGCCAAUGGGACAUGCCUAACAAACAUGCAGGCCAGGGUUGUAGGGACCAGGGAGAUGAUGCCCUUGAGUGUAACCCCUAAAGGACAAAUGAGGACUUCAGUCCUCGGUAAGACUGACUCAAUCAUGUGGAGAUACCAAGUAAAACUGGGCUUUGGGUAUCCAGACUAAUUGGU